rnacentral:rRNA from 1 species
UACGGAGGGUGCGAGCGUUGUCCGGAAUCACUGGGCGUAAAGGGCGCGUAGGUGGCGCAGGAAGUCAACGGUGAAAGUUCGGGGCUCAACCCUGAAUCGGCCGUCGAUACUCCUGGGCUCGAGCACUGUAGAGGCAGAUGGAAUUCCGGGUGUAGCGGUGGAAUGCGUAGAGAUCCGGAAGAACACCGGUGGCGAAGGCGGUCUGCUGG